CAAAGACAACUACGAUGGCAUUAAUGGUGCAUAAUAAGACAAAGGUAAAAUAUGCAGACGUCCCCAUUCACCGUAUAUAACGUUAAUGCUCUGCAUACAAGCUCGGCUUCUGAGGAGUUAACAGAAAGCGAGGAGUUUGAGAGAUGCUUCCAAGCGGAAACGCAGCACACAGGCAACAUCGCUGAACCACGGAAAAAGAGAAAGUGGCAACCAAAACAAGGGCAAAUUGAGCAGUCCUUUGGGGAUUUACAAGGAAAAAGCCCCACUUUUAUCUCCGAGUAACUGAACCUAUGACUGUCACGCCAAAACCAUGAAGUGAAACUUUUCUCUCUGUCUCUCUCAAAUGUAUCACUGGGAAGGAAAAAGUCCUGUCAGUAUACCCCCGCAAUUUAUGGAUUGAUCCAAAGCUGUAAAUGAACGCCAAAUACGUUACGGGCUAGAACCAUUCUUAGUUGAAGCACGCUGCAUUUGCGUGAUACACAGGCGAGCGAGAGGGCGCACAGAAUUUACACUGGAUGCAAGGAUGGUAUUUUUUGUGCGUCAGGGGACCAUUCGCACUCUGUGUGUACAGAGUAAAAUGACAGUAAACCAAAGCUUUAAGGCUUUAGGAUGGAUAAUGGCAUGGUUUUAUUCCAGAAUGCCCAUGCUUGUCUAAUGAGGAUGAAACACACAGUUAACUGAAUAAAACGUGUAUUAAUAAAGGCAAAAUCGUAUUUCAGUACUCGCUAUAAUCUCAUGAUUUCAUUUCCAGCAUAUUUUAUUUGAAUCAGUCUGUAAAACGGAGUGAGUCUCGUAUGCAUAAAAUACAGAGGAUAGGGCCGGUGCCACUGGGCCAUCUUUUCAUUAAUAUCGAGUGAGGGUUUUGUCUAAAUUACCGCUAUGCAUUUCACAGUGCGCCCUUUCAAAGGACGUCUCAAGCGGUCCCCUGAAACGUGAGCGAGACUGUGAAAAAGAAGUCACUUUUCUUCCAAAACAGUGAAGAGAGGGAGAAAAAAUAUAUAUUUUUCAGAUCUUCCGUUUCGAGUUCUGCCUUUCAGAUUUUUCUUCAUUAAAGUGAUGCAAUACUACUUAUUUAUUUGUUUAUUUUGUGAGGUCUCCGCGUUCCCUGCUGUGGGGUUCAUUUGUUUUGUCUGCAGAAACGAAAGGGGAAAAAAUCUCCAAGUAUAACAAGAGACGAACAGUUAGUGCUGAUUUUCAUUUGCAUAAAUUUUCAUAUAUUUUAGUGAAAAUAAUAGCGGAGCCAAGGAGAGCUCCGCUCAGUUGUGUCAGAGGAUAGGAAAAUCUUAGGACGGACCGUUUCGAAGGAGGGCAGGCACAGGACUCCAGUCGUUAAUUAAAGCUAAAUAGAAAAUGAAUACUUGCCGUUUUCCUGAGCAUUCGUGGAUUUACAGAUGAUGCAGCACGGUCCCCUGAUCUCCCUCUCGCCCGAAGCAAGGCCUCCUGGGUAUGGCAGACUCAGCCACCGAGGCGGAGAGUGACCACGGCUCCCCCGCUCCUGCUUCUUCUUCGUCAGUGGAGAAAUAUGCAGUUCUUCUGGAGCAUCGCUGCUGCAGGCUGUUUUCUUUGGGAGACUAUAAAGAUAUGCAAAUGCAGCAGUUAAAAUGAAGGGAAAAGUAGAAAGAAAAAGACUUGCACAUUUUGUAUUUGUCUUCCUGGUAGUGGUGAGAGUUCAUUCUGCAGGAGAUUGCAAGAGUUUACCGUUGACUUAGUUUUAGAGAGAAAGCGAGGGUGAGAGAGAGAGAGAAAGAGAGAGAUAGAGAGAGAGAGACAGAGAGAGACAGAGGCAGAGAGAGAGAGCAGCCCAGGUAGAACAGCAGGAAAUUAAAGAUAUUUUCAAAGCCUCAGUUUGCCUCAGCCCCAGAUUUUCUAUUUUUGUUGUGGCCUAGCUCCAAAGGGAAAUAAAUAAAUAAAUAAAAUAGACAGACAAGGAUAUGAAAUUUCUCUUCCAUCACCGGUAACAGGCCUGUACAUACAUGACGCUGGGUGUUUAAGACGGAGUGAGAUUGAUGUGCACGAGCUCGGCACGAUUGGUACAUGUUUGGGGGUGCUUAUCCUGAGAGCCCAGGGUGUAAGGGGUGUGCUAAAGUCAAAGCUGCAGUAAACAGAUCCAUCUCAAUGCAACACAGAAAACGUCCUUUCCCCAGCUGUGACUCCAAACCACGAGGAGAUUUACUCAGAGAAAACAAUUUUUAUUGUUUUCUCUGCAUUUGUUUAAUUGAAUAAAGAGUAAGCAUUAUACUUAGAUAAUAAUAAUAAUAAUAAUAAUAAUAAUAAUAAUAAUAAUAAUAAUGCAAACUUUCUAAUUGUGAAAAGCCAUUCCAUCCAAUUGGUCUUGUAUAAAUAAAUAAAUGUAUUCUUCGUAUA